UCCAGACUCCUACGGGAGGCAGCAGUGGGGGAUAUUGCACAAUGGGGGAAACCCUGAUGCAGCGACGCCGCGUGAGUGAAGAAGUAUUUCGGUAUGUAAAGCUCUAUCAGCAGGGAAGAAGAAAGACGGUACCUGAGUAAGGAGCCCCGGCUAACUACGUGCCAGCAGCCGCGGUAAUACGUAGGGGGCAAGCGUUAUCCGGAUUUACUGGGUGUAAAGGGGGCGCAGACGGCGAUGCAAGCCAGGAGUGAAAGCCCGGGGCCCAACCCCGGGACUGCUCUUGGAACUGCGUGGCUGGAGUGCAGGAGGGGCAGGCGGAAUUCCUGGUGUAGCGGUGAAAUGCGUAGAUAUCAGGAGGAACACCGGUGGCGAAGGCGGCCUGCUGGACUGCAACUGACGUUGAGGCCCGAAAGCGUGGGGAGCAAACAGGAUUAGAUACCCGCGUA
rnacentral:rRNA from 1 species